CGCCUGGGGAGUACGGCCGCAAGGUUAAAACUCAAAUGAAUUGACGGGGGCCCGCACAAGCGGUGGAGCAUGUGGUUUAAUUCGACGCAACGCGAAGAACCUUACCUGGCCUUGACAUGCAGAGAACUUUCCAGAGAUGGAUUGGUGCCUUCGGGAACUCUGACACAGGUGCUGCAUGGCCGUCGUCAGCUCGUGUCGUGAGAUGUUGGGUUAAGUCCCGUAACGAGCGCAACCCCUAUCCCUAGUUGCUAGCAGUUCGGCUGAGAACUCUAGGGAGACUGCCGGUGACAAACCGGAGGAAGGUGGGGAUGACGUCAGGUCAUCAUGGCCCUUACGGCCAGGGCUUCACACGUGCUACAAUGGUGCGCACAGAGGGCUGCAAACCCGCGAGGGGGAGCCAAUCUCACAAAACGCAUCGUAGUCCGGAUCGCAGUCUGCAACUCGACUGCGUGAAGUCGGAAUCGCUAGUAAUCGUGAAUCAGAAUGUCACGGUGAAUACGUUCCCGGGCCUUGUACACACCGCCCGUCACACCAUGGGAGUGGAUUGCACCAGAAGUGGUUAGUCUAACCUUCGGGAGGACGAUCACCACGGUGUGGUUCAUGACUGGGGUGAAGUCGUAACAAGGUAACCGUA
rnacentral:rRNA from 1 species